CCAAGAGAACUUUUUCCUUUUUCUCCUCUCCCCUCGUUAGCGACUCACCCAUCAAGAUGUCAAUUAGUGCCCGGGACGAGCAAAAGAGAUUGCGAGUGCACCAAACCAUCCCGCUAAUUCCGCUCUCUUCUGACUGUUGUUCUAAGAUUUAUGGGAUUUGUCUUUCUUUCUGGCCGUAGCAGGCUCGUCUUACUCUCCAAUAACUGGGAUGGAUCUUCUGCUGCAGUCUGGCUAUUACUCUUUGGUUGGGCCUGAUCAUUGCUUUUUCCCUGUGAUGAUGACAAAAUGAAAGAGAAAAUAUUGAAAUUGUCAAAAGUUCAAGACUGGAUUCCACCAAAGAACUGUCUUGGAAGCGGGUCUGGGGACGCUAAAUCCGUCGAGGCCGAACUUCCUCCUGCUGCUGUGGUGUAGAAGCUUGGAGAAAGGAGUACCACCUCAAGUGACGUCCUCGUCAUCUGACUGUGGCUCAAAAUUACAAGGUCCUUCCCAAAAAGCUCUGGUGUUGCUUUCAAAAGGGGCGUUAUUGUAGCUAAACCAAGCCAAGCAAUAUCUUUCUUCAUUGUUCAUUCCUUAUUAGAUCAAAACCUCCUCAGAGUUCUCCCAAAUACAUCUGCUGUACUGAUUUA